UACGUAGGGUGCAAGCGUUGUCCGGGAUUAUUGGGCGUAAAGAGCUCGUAGGCGGUUUGUCGCGUCUGCUGUGAAAACUCGGGGCUUAACCCCGGGCCUGCAGUGGGUACGGGCAGACUAGAGUGCGGUAGGGGAGACUGGAAUUCCUGGUGUAGCGGUGAAAUGCGUAGAUAUCGAGAGGAACACCUGCGGCGAAGGCGGGUAGCUGGGCCGACACUGACGCUGAGGCGCGAAAGCCAGGGGAGCAAAUGGG
rnacentral:rRNA from 1 species